rnacentral:misc_RNA from 1 species
AACAUCGCGCACCUGCGGGAACCUGCGGAGGGAUCAUUAUCAAGAGUGUCCCCACUUGUAAAAAUAGUGGGGUUAACCUCCCGUCCUUUGCUGGCCCUUCCCUUUUCUGGGUGGGCAUUUGUUUUCUGCUUCGGUGGGUAAACCCCACCGGAACACCCUCAAAAAAUUCUUUGUACAAAACCGUUCAGUCCGAGGAUUUUUGAAUUGACGUAAAACUUUUAACAACGGAUCUCAGAUCGG